GUGGCCUUAGCUCAGUUGGUAGAGCGCCUGACUGUUAAUCAGGUUGUCGCUAGUUCGAAUCCAGCAGGCUACG
rnacentral:tRNA from 1 species